AGCCAUAAAUGUGCGUACGCACCAAAAAAAUCUGAUGUAUGAAUCUCUGCGUACGCAGCAUUCCACAUACAUUCUCUUUGUACAUCCCAAUCAACGCGAAAUUGAGCGCACAUGCACGAGCACCACACCACACCCUGUCUCCUCCCUCAAUUAAAUCAAUUUAAAUAUGGUAAUUAGUCCAAUUUGGCAAAAGAAACCUGCAAGAACAUGGCUAAAGCAAGCAAGAAACGAAAUUUCACUGAAAACGAAUUAGAGGUGCUACUAUCAGAGGUAGAAACAAGAAAAAAUAUUUUAUUUGGAAAUCUGUCCUCUGGAAUUAAUAACAAAAGAAAGAAAAAAGAGUGGGCGAGUUUGUCUGAUGCCGUCAACGCGGUGGGAUCUGAGAGUCGCACCGUAAAUGAACUGAAGAAGAAAUGGUCAGACAUAAAGGUGGAAGUUAAGCGGAGAACUGCUGCGCACCGACAAAGUGUGGGCAGAACAGGCGGUGGUACAGGGACCGAUGAACUUGCACCCUUUGAUCAGAGAGUUGCCUCUAUUGUAGGAGACACGUUAAUCUCUGGAAUCGUAUCCGCUGAUGUAGGAGACUCGGAUAUACUACAGGACUGCCAGCAAGGAACCGCAGGAACGUCCACUGGCACGCACUCAGAGUCCGCACCACCUGAGCAGCCAGAGCCCAUUCAGUCCAGCGUCUCCCGUGUCUCUAAUGUUCCCCCCAGUGCUGAAGCCCGUCCAUCUGGCCGUGUCUUGACGCAUGCUGUUCUGGAGUCACAACAACAAAUUGUUAGGGCCAUUGAAGAAAUGAACAGUCACCUUAAAAAUGUCACUGACGCACUCACAGAAAUAAGCCAUUCAUUAAAAGAAUUGGUCAAAAAAUGAA